GUGCUCACUUCAGCAGCACAUAUACUAAAAUUGGAACGAUACAGAGAAGAUUAGUAUGGCCCCUGUGCAAGGAUGACAUGCAAAUUCGUGAAGUGUUCCAUAUUAAA
ensembl:snRNA U6 U6 spliceosomal RNA